rnacentral:rRNA from 1 species
UACGGAGGGGGCUAGCGUUGUUCGGAAUUACUGGGCGUAAAGGGUGCGUAGGUGGCGGGGUAAGUCUGGUGUGAAAGCUCCGAGCUUAACUCGGAAAAGCAUUGGAAACUAUCCCGCUGGAGGGUCGGAGGGGAGACUGGAAUUCUCGGUGUAGCAGUGAAAUGCGUAGAUAUCGAGAGGAACACCAGUGGCGAAGGCGAGUCUCUGGACGACUCCUGACACUGAGGCACGAAAGCUAGGGGAGCAAACAGG